AUCUACGGCCACGCCACCCUGAACAUGCCCGAUCUCGUCUGAUCUCGGAAACUAAGCAGGAUCGGGCCUGGUUAGUACUUGGAUGAGAGACCACCUAGGAAUACUAGGUGCUGUAGGUG
rnacentral:rRNA from 1 species